AUCCGCUUUGAUAAUGCUGGGAUGUGAUGGGGAGCGAAAUUUAGUAGCGAAGUAGCUGAUUUCACACUGUCAAGAAAAGUCUCUAUCGAGGUUAAAGGUACCCGUACCGCAAACCGACACAGGUGGGUGAGGAGAGUAUCCUAAGGCCAGCGAGAGAACUGUUGUUAAGGAACUCGGCAAAAUGACCCCGUAACUUAGGGAUAAGGGGUGCCACCAUCAGGUGGCCGCAGAGAAUAGGCCCAAGCGACUGUUUACCAAAAACAUAGGUUUCUGCUAAGUCGCAAGACGAUGUAUAGGAGCUGACGCCUGCCCGGUGCUGGAAGGUUAAGGGGA
rnacentral:rRNA from 1 species